rnacentral:rRNA from 1 species
UACGAAGGGGGCUAGCGUUGUUCGGAAUUACUGGGCGUAAAGCGCGCGUAGGCGGACAUCUAAGUCAGGGGUGAAAUCCCAGGGCUCAACCCUGGAACUGCCUUUGAUACUGGACGUCUGGAGUUCGGGAGAGGUGAGUGGAAUUCCGAGUGUAGAGGUGAAAUUCGUAGAUAUUCGGAGGAACACCAGAAGCGAAGGCGGCUCACUGGCCCGAUACUGACGCUGAGGCGCGAAAGCGUGGGGAGCAAACAGG